UACGUAGGGUGCAAGCGUUGUCCGGAAUUAUUGGGCGUAAAGAGCUCGUAGGCGGUUUGUUGCGUCGGCUGUGAAAUCCCGAGGCUCAACCUCGGGUCUGCAGUCGAUACGAGCAAACUAGAGUGUUGCAGGGGGAGACUGGAAUUCCUGGUGUAGCGGUGAAAUGCGCAGAUAUCAGGAGGAACACCGGUGGCGAAAGGCGGGGUCUCUGGGGCAACACUGACUGAGGAGCGAAAAGCGUGGGGGAGCGAACAGGG
rnacentral:rRNA from 1 species